rnacentral:rRNA from 1 species
UACGAAGGGUGCAAGCGUUAAUCGGAAUUACUGGGCGUAAAGCGUGCGUAGGCGGUUUCUUAAGUCCGUUGUGAAAGCCCUGGGCUCAACCUGGGAACUGCGAUGGAUACUGAGGAGCUGGAGUACGGUAGAGGUCGGUGGAAUUCCCGGUGUAGUGGUGAAAUGCGUAGAGAUCGGGAGGAACACCUGUGGCGAAGGCGGCCGACUGGGCCGACCCUGACGCUGAGGCGCGAAGGCGUGGGGAGCGAACGGG